UGAAGAGUUUGAUCAUGGCUCAGAUUGAACGCUGGCGGCAGGCCUAACACAUGCAAGUCGAACGGUAACAGGAAGCAGCUUGCUGCUUUGCUGACGAGUGGCGGACGGGUGAGUAAUGUCUGGGAAACUGCCUGAUGGAGGGGGAUAACUACUGGAAACGGUGGCUAAUACCGCAUAACGUCGCAAGACCAAAGAGGGGGACCUUCGGGCCUCUUGCCAUCAGAUGUGCCCAGAUGGGAUUAGCUUGUUGGUGAGGUAACGGCUCACCAAGGCGACGAUCCCUAGCUGGUCUGAGAGGAUGACCAGCCACACUGGAACUGAGACACGGUCCAGACUCCUACGGGAGGCAGCAGUGGGGAAUAUUGCACAAUGGGCGCAAGCCUGAUGCAGCCAUGCCGCGUGUAUGAAGAAGGCCUUCGGGUUGUAAAGUACUUUCAGCGGGGAGGAAGGUGUUGUGGUUAAUAACCGCAGCAAUUGACGUUACCCGCAGAAGAAGCACCGGCUAACUCCGUGCCAGCAGCCGCGGUAAUACGGAGGGUGCAAGCGUUAAUCGGAAUUACUGGGCGUAAAGCGCACGCAGGCGGUCUGUCAAGUCGGAUGUGAAAUCCCCGGGCUCAACCUGGGAACUGCAUUCGAAACUGGCAGGCUUGAGUCUUGUAGAGGGGGGUAGAAUUCCAGGUGUAGCGGUGAAAUGCGUAGAGAUCUGGAGGAAUACCGGUGGCGAAGGCGGCCCCCUGGACAAAGACUGACGCUCAGGUGCGAAAGCGUGGGGAGCAAACAGGAUUAGAUACCCUGGUAGUCCACGCCGUAAACGAUGUCUACUUGGAGGUUGUGCCCUUGAGGCGUGGCUUCCGGAGCUAACGCGUUAAGUAGACCGCCUGGGGAGUACGGCCGCAAGGUUAAAACUCAAAUGAAUUGACGGGGGCCCGCACAAGCGGUGGAGCAUGUGGUUUAAUUCGAUGCAACGCGAAGAACCUUACCUGGUCUUGACAUCCACGGAAGUUUU
rnacentral:rRNA from 1 species